GACGAACGCUGGCGGCGUGCUUAACACAUGCAAGUCGAACGGAAAGGCCCUGCUUUUGUGGGGUGCUCGAGUGGCGAACGGGUGAGUAACACGUGAGUAACCUGCCCUUGACUUUGGGAUAACUUCAGGAAACUGGGGCUAAUACCGGAUAGGAGCUCCUGCUGCAUGGUGGGGGUUGGAAAGUUUCGGCGGUUGGGGAUGGACUCGCGGCUUAUCAGCUUGUUGGUGGGGUAGUGGCUUACCAAGGCUUUGACGGGUAGCCGGCCUGAGAGGGUGACCGGCCACAUUGGAACUGAGAGACGGCCCAGACGCCUACGGGAGGCAGCAGGGGGGAAUAUUGAACAAUGGGCGGAAGCCUGAGGCAGCAACGCCGCGUGCGGGAUGACGGCCUUCGGGUUGUAAACCGCUUUAGCCUGUGACGAAGCGGGAGUGACGGUAAUGGGUAAAGAAGCACCGGCUAACUACGUG
rnacentral:rRNA from 1 species